AGAGUUUGAUCCUGGCUCAGAUUGAACGCUGGCGGCAGGCUUAACACAUGCAAGUCGAACGGUAGCAGGAGAAAGCUUGCUUUCUUGCUGACGAGUGGCGGACGGGUGAGUAAUGCUUGGGAAUCUGGCUUAUGGAGGGGGAUAACGACGGGAAACUGUCGCUAAUACCGCGUAGUAUCGGAAGAUGAAAGUGCGGGACCGUAAGGCCGCAUGCCAUGAGAUGAGCCCAAGUGGGAUUAGGUAGUUGGUGGGGUAAAGGCCUACCAAGCCUGCGAUCUCUAGCUGGUCUGAGAGGAUGGCCAGCCACACUGGAACUGAGACACGGUCCAGACUCCUACGGGAGGCAGCAGUGGGGAAUAUUGCGCAAUGGGGGGAACCCUGACGCAGCCAUGCCGCGUGAAUGAAGAAGGCCUUCGGGUUGUAAAGUUCUUUCGGUAUUGAGGAAGGAGUGUAUGUUAAUAGCAUACAUUAUUGACGUUAAAUACAGAAGAAGCACCGGCUAACUCCGUGCCAGCAGCCGCGGUAAUACGGAGGGUGCGAGCGUUAAUCGGAAUAACUGGGCGUAAAGGGCACGCAGGCGGUUAUUUAAGUGAGGUGUGAAAGCCCCGGGCUUAACCUGGGAAUUGCAUUUCAGACUGGGUAACUAGAGUACUUUAGGGAGGGGUAGAAUUCCACGUGUAGCGGUGAAAUGCGUAGAGAUGUGGAGGAAUACCGAAGGCGAAGGCAGCCCCUUGGGAAUGUACUGACGCUCAUGUGCGAAAGCGUGGGGAGCAAACAGGAUUAGAUACCCUGGUAGUCC
rnacentral:rRNA from 1 species